UGCCCAACUCUACAAAAGCAUCUCCCUCAGGUCAAACAAGUAUCUCCACUUGAAGCAGCAGGCAAACUAUACACCAUUGAAGAAAUAUCUAACCUUCCAGCGUCAUCUUUUCAGGGAGGAGCAACCUUCAGCACUAUCGCAAAAGUAGCAUCAAUUAUACCGUCAGUCAAAUGGUACUACAAAGCAUGCAAGCGUUGUGGAAAAGGAUAUAACAACAUGACAGAUACCCCAACAUGUGGCUGCCAAUUUCCAGUUCCAUGCCCAAUGUACAAACUUCCCCUUACACUAACAGAUAACUCGGGAAGUUUGGAUGCAAUUGCUUUCGCUAGAGUAGCUGAAGACUUAGUUGAGCGUCAUGCUGAUCAUGUUUCAAUGAGUAUGAAGAUAGAAGCUACAGAUCAUGUGCUUACCCUGGAUAAGGCCAUUGGUAAAGAAAAGUUAUUCUACAUAGGAAUGAACACUGAUUCGUCUGCCAAGUACCCUAUAACUUAUGUCCUGAAAAAAAGUUUCUCUGUCAACAAUACUGAAUCAACACCUUUUCCACGUGCUCCAAAGGUAAGCAACUUCUUACAGAUUC